AUGGAGACGACCGCGACGUCCUACCCGGUGGCGCGGGACCCGCCGCCGCGGCCAGUGCCGCAGACGGCGCAGCUGGGCGGCGGCCCGGCGCCGCAGCGCGGCGGGUGGGCGGGCUGGGCGCUGUGGGCGGUCGUGUUCCUGGUCCUCGCCGCCAGCUUCGCGUGGGGCGUGUACCAGUCGCGGCACCGGCCGCGGAGCCUCGCCUUCGUCAUCGUCACCUACUACCUCCUCGCCGUGCUCUACUGCUGCCUCGGGAAGCUGAGCCUCCUGCGCCGCGACGACCCGGCGGCGGCGCCCGAGCGCCAGCGGGUCAGGCUCGCCGUGUGGGUCGUCUCCGUGGCGUUCGCCAACGUCAUCGCGGCGCGCGUCGCCGACUCGAUGCCCGAGCGGGGGCUCCAGAUCGCCGUCUGGGUGGUCCUCGCCGCCGGCAUCGGCGUCGCCUUCUACUUCUUCUUCAUCCGCGAAGGCGCCCGCGAGGUCGCCGGGCAGCGGCGGGAGGCGGAGCUCCACCAGGUGUCCCCGGAGCAGAGGGUCUGA
rnacentral:rRNA from 1 species